UACGAAGGGGGCGAGCGUUGUUCGGAUUUACUGGGCGUAAAGGGCGCGCAGGCGGCGCAUUUUGUCAGGCGUGAAAGCCCCGGGCUUAACCUGGGACUGCGUUUGAUACGGAUGGGCUAGAGUUCGGGAGAGGAGAGUGGAAUUCCCAGUGUAGAGGUGAAUUCGUAGAUAAUUGGGAAGAACACCGGUGGCGAAGGCGGCUCACUGGGACCGGUAACUGACGCUGAUGCGCGAAGCGUGGGGAGCAAACGGG
rnacentral:rRNA from 1 species